rnacentral:miRNA from 1 species
AUGGUAUCGUGAGAUGAAAUCAGC